rnacentral:rRNA from 1 species
CCUACGAGUGGCAGCAGUGAGGAAUAUUGGUCAAUGGACGGAAGUCUGAACCAGCCAUGCCGCGUGAAGGAAGACGGCUCUAUGAGUUGUAAACUGCUUUUGUACAAGGGUAAACCUGAAUACGUGUACUCAGCUGAAUGUACUGUACGAAUAAGGAUCGGCUAACUCCGUGCCAGCAGCCGCGGUAAUACGGGGGAUCCAAGCGUUCUCCGGCUUUCUUGGGUUUAAAGGGUGCGUAGGCGGAUUGUUAAGUUAGAGGUAAAAUGUACGGGCUUAACUCGGGAACUGCCUCUAAUCCUGUAGAUCUAGGGAGUAGAGACGGUAGGCGGAAUGUAGGGUGUAGCGGUGAAAGGCU